ACUCUGAACCUUUAGAAGAGCAGUCAGUGCUCUUAACCACCCCCAUCUCACUGUGGUUUUUUUUUUUUAAUUUUAAAUAUACAAUUGGCAUUCAUUAUACAUGUUUAAAAUUGCUUUGGUGUAUUUGUAUGCAUAUCUAUAUUUGAGACCACAGUGAACCUAGAACAUAUCUGUAACCCUUUCCACCCACACCUUUUCCAAAGAAUUGCCUAUCUGAAAUGGCCUUAUAGAUUUGUUUCAUGUAAAUGGAAUCAAUGUGAACUCUUUAUAUGUCUGGCUGCUGGUCAUUCAACGUCAUUGGGUUUAUCCCUGUCACAGAAUGAAGCAGUACUGUAGCAGCCUGGGAUGCCAGAACAGUCUAACUUCUGGUCCAGAUUUCAUUAGUAACAGAAGGCCCUUUAAUAUAUUGACCCCAUGAAUCAUAUUGCCAUAUACACCAAUUGUAAAAACCCAAGGUGUGUUUUCUGGGCCUUCUUGGCUACAACGGAAGUGGAGCAAAUGUAGGCAAGAUUUCUUCCACUUUGGGCAGCUUUGCUGAGUCUUGGGAGGGAAGCUCACAAUUGACUCCAGGCCUGUGGCAUGUCUGCUUGUUUGUAAUUAUAUGGGGGAUAUUCUGUUCUCUUGACUUGGCAGCUUUGCUGAAUCUUGGGAGAGCAGCUCACAAUGGACUCCAGAUCUGUGGCAUGUCUACUUGUUUGUAAUUAUAUGGGGAUAUACCAAUGCAGUGAACCUGCUACACACUAGCUUUGCCUUGGGAAUGUUUUCACUUUGUGUCUAUUUGUGCUUGUACAUGAAAGCCAGAGGACAACUUCAAAUAGCAUUCCUCAGGAACCAUCCAUCUUUGUCUCAUGUUUGAGAUCGCAUCUCACCAUGAAGCUGUGACUGACCUGGAACUCACAGAGAUCUCCCUGCCUCUCCCUCCAAGUGUUGGGAUUAAAGGUUCCUGGUGGAGAGCUUUGUGGCAUCCAGGUGGGAGAGGAGUCAGACGGUCUAGAUGCCACCUGCGUGACCCUAUGCCAUAAAGUUAAGGCUUUCGCUUCAGCUCUGAUUCCUCCUGUUGCUAAUACCUCACUGGGUGAGGUGUUUUGGGAGUUUUUGUGUGCUUUGUUUUGUUUUAAACGGCUUCUUUUGAUUAGGGAUUUUGGUCAGAGUCUCUAGGACUAAAUAAGCAAGAGAUAUUGAUAAAGUUCAACAUGGUGAGAAGUGGGAGCUGUAUCUAACUAUUUUAAGGUUUUCUUAAAUGGUUACACCAAGAGCAAACUAUCUCGAGCAUGCCAAGGAUUCUUCUCCCCAUUGUUAAAAACAAAACAAAACCAAGAAGGGGGGGGAACAGCACAUUUUUUUCAAUCUGUUGGAAAGAUUUUGUUUGAUUAGCCGGCAGUGGUGACACAAGCCUUUAAUCCCAGCAUUUGGGAGGCAGAGACAGGCGGGUCUCAGUGAGUUUGAGGCCAGCCUGGUCUACAAGAGCUAAUUCCAGGACAGGCUACAAAGCUACAGAGAAACCCUGUCUCAAAAAACAUUACAAUGACCAGAUUGUAGGUCACAAAGUACUUUAAGAGGACAGCAAUAAUCGCAGUAAACAACAGUAAGCUGCCAGAAUACACCCUCUGUAACUGACGCCAUGUUGACCAUAGCUUUCUGUACACUGUAUUUGACAUUAGCAAGAGUAGAGAUAGAAUGUGUAUCAAGAAACUAUUCCCCCACCCCUUAAAAAAAAAAAAACCACUUACACAAUUCCAGCAAAUCAGAAAUGAAAUUUAACUUUGUGGUAUUUGUUCUUUUCUCAUUGUGCAUGUUUUUUUAAAAACCUGUCAGUGCUGCAUGCAUCUAAUCCCAAGCCCAUGUGAGGGAAGAGCAAGAGUCUGAGUUCCAGGACAGUCUAGGCUACAUGAUGAAACCUUCCAGAAAGCCAAGUAAUUACAACAGCAACAAAAGAGUUGGCACUGUUGCAUCAUCUUUCAGUGACCAAGAACUUUCUUUUUUGCUGAAAGAAAUCCUCUCUGUUUUGCAAAAUAAAGAAAAACUCCACGGUUUAACUGUGUUUCCAUGUUUUGCGCUCAGGAGAUGUAACCUGUCCUUGCUCUUUCCAUUGCUGUCAGCAUCACAGCUGAUUUCCGGGGAGGGAAGGCAGUGCUGGGGAGGGAUGCCAGGGUUUUCUGCUGAGUCAUACCCAGAGCCAAGAGUGAGCCCAGAUGCUCUGCUGCAGGCUGCUGCAGGCUGUGAAGCUGCCCUACUUAUCCCUAGCUGACUGGUGCUGACCCUAAAUGUCCUCAAGUGGUGCAGAUGUCACUGUCUGGCCUGUCUCCUAGUCUAUACUGAACAAGGCUCCCCUUGCAAACAAUAACCCAAAUAAACCCA